GACGGGGGCCCGCACAAGCAGCGGAGCAUGUGGUUUAAUUCGACGCAACGCGAAGAACCUUACCAGGUCUUGACAUCCAGUAAAACUUGCAGAGAUGCAUCGUGAGCUUGCUCAUACUGAGACAGGUGGUGCAUGGUUGUCGUCAGCUCGUGUCGUGAGAUGUUGGGUUAAGUCCCGCAACGAGCGCAACCCUUAUUUUCAGUUACUAACGCGUAGAGGCGAGGACUCUGAAGAGACUGCCGGGGACAACUCGGAGGAAGGUGGGGACGACGUCAAAUCAUCAUGCCCCUUAUGACCUGGGCUACACACGUGCUACAAUGGCCACCACAGAGAGGAGCGAACCUGCGAGGGGGAGCGGAUCUCAAAAAAGUGGUCCCAGUUCGGAUUGUGGGCUGCAACCCGCCCACAUGAAGUCGGAGUUGCUAGUAAUCGCGGAUCAGCAUGCCGCGGUGAAUACGUUCCCGGGCCUUGUACACACCGCCCGUCACACCAUGGGAGUUGGGAGUGCCCAAAGUCGGUGAGGUAACCGCAAGGAGCCAGCCGCCUAAGGCAAGACCAAUGACUGGGGUGAAGUAGUAACAAGGUAGGUCGU
rnacentral:rRNA from 1 species